rnacentral:sRNA from 1 species
GAAUUCUCAAUUUAUAUCUGGGUCCAGCAACAAAAAACCCCGACUAUCGGGGUUUUUUGUUAUCUGAAUUUCAUUCGAUAAAUUCAGGUGCUUGCUUGGAAUUUAAAUUGGGCUCUAUGCCCUUUUUUU